UCUUGACCUGUCUAUGCACCUGUCUAUACUUUGCAGUGUUUCCCACAGAAUUCAGUUCUAUUUGUGGUGGUAGGUGACGGUGGGGGUUGCAACAGUUUUGCGCAGCAUGUUUAUGAUGCUAACCUGAUUUAUUCACGAUUUAACCAGUCAUCUUCUAUGCCAAUAACAAUCCUUGCACAAAUGACAAUGUUUUCUUUAAACAUGCAUGCAGAGGAGGGGCAGAGAGAGAGAGAAAGAGAGAGAGAGAGACAAGGAGAGGCUCAUGUCACCAAUGUCAUCUCAUGUCACCCAUGGUCAUAUUUAUUACCUAAGUCAUUCAAUUUUAUUAGAAAAUGUAUGUAUAUAAUGAUAAUACCUAACAUAUAUCCAUUUAAAUUUUUUAAAAAGGCGAUUAUUUGCAAUUUUUGGUGAUAUAUCCGCCAUCUUGGAUUUUGGACCUGUGCAGUCCGGGAAAAAAUUGGAAACAGGUAGUUUUACAAACUAUAGGGUCUGAAGAAGUGAAAAAACAUAAUUUGCAAAAAUCUAUAUGAAAUGUUCCAAACACCUUUUUUUGCUACAUAUCGCCCUGCACUACCAGAUCUAUGUCUUCACACAACCCUGUCUCGCAGGUCUACGGACAAUUCUCUCUACCUCGUGGCUUGGUUUUCAGUCUGACAUUCACCAUCAACUGAGAGACCUUAUAUAUAGAGAUGUGUCCCUCUCCUAAUAAUGUCCAGUGAAUUAAUUUAGUCACAGGUUGUCUCCAAUCAAGUUAUAGAAGCAUCUCAAGGACCACUGAUAGAAGUAGGAUGCACCAGAGCUCAAUGGCAAGCGUCAUAACAAAGGGUCUGAAUAGUUAUGUGAAUGGAUUAUUUCAGUCUUUUAUUUUUUAUAAAUUUACAAAACACUCCAAACACCUGUUGUUUUGUGGAGUGUUGGAGUAUUGUGUGUGGAUUGAUGAGAAAACAAAUGAAUCAAUUUCAAUAUGAGUCUGAAACAUAACAAAAUAUGGGAAAAGUGAAGCACUGUGAAUACUUUCCGUAUGCAGUGUAAAUGUUAGUGUGUGUGAAUGUGUGUGUGUGUGUGUAAAUGUGAGUGUGUGAACUGUAUCAUUUAAAGUAUUAACUUUGGAAAGCAGCAUGGCUCCAGAUUUUAAAGUUUACAUUAUUCUGUUCUGUGUUUUAUAUGUCUAUUUAAAAGCACACUAAUCUUUUGAUUUGAUUUUGAAUUGAUUAUUUAAUCUUUUGAAUGGCCAGUUUGUAGUUCACUGAAACAUACAGAAUUCUGUGUGUGUUCAUUUGUUUAUGCAGUGACUGUUAGAACUUGUCAUGUGACGUUUGUUUCACAGAAACUUUAUGAGCUCUAUAAUGAGCAAAUGAAAGACUGUAUAGCACACAGAUGUGUGGAGGUGCAAUGCCAAUAAAGCUGAAUCAAAGAGGUAUACAGUAUAGCAGCCUAUACACACCUUGUACUAAAGAAGACCAUAGAGGUAUACUGUACAGUAUAGCCUAUACACACAAUAAACUAAAGAAGAGGUAUGCACUAAUAGAGGUGUACACUAAUAAAAGAGUCAAGCCCCAA